GUGGGGAAUCUUGCACAAUGGGGGAAACCCUGAUGCAGCGACGCCGCGUGAGCGAUGAAGCCCUUCGGGGUGUAAAGCUCUUUCGGCAGGAACGAUAAUGACGGUACCUGCAGAAGAAGCUGCGGCUAACUACGUGCCAGCAGCCGCGGUAAUACGUAGGCAGCAAGCGUUGUUCGGAAUUACUGGGCGUAAAGAGUGUGUAGGUGGUGUCGUAAGUUUGGUGUGAAAUCUCCCGGCUUAACUGGGAGGGUGCGCCGAAGACUGCGAUGCUGGAGUAUGGGAGAGGAAAGCGGAAUUCCUGGUGUAGCGGUGAAAUGCGUAGAUAUCAGGAGGAACACCUGCGGUGUAGACGGCUUUCUGGACCAUUACUGACACUGAGACACGAAAGCGUGGGUAGCAAACAGGAUUAGAAACCCUGGUAGUCC
rnacentral:rRNA from 1 species